rnacentral:rRNA from 1 species
GAUGAACGCUGGCGGCGUGCCUAAUACAUGCAAGUCGAGCGAACGGACGAGAAGCUUGCUUCUCUGAUGUUAGCGGCGGACGGGUGAGUAACACGUGGAUAACCUACCUAUAAGACUGGGAUAACUUCGGGAAACCGGAGCUAAUACCGGAUAAUAUUUUGAACCGCAUGGUUCAAAAGUGAAAGACGGUCUUGCUGUCACUUAUAGAUGGAUCCGCGCUGCAUUAGCUAGUUGGUAAGGUAACGGCUUACCAAGGCAACGAUGCAUAGCCGACCUGAGAGGGUGAUCGGCCACACUGGAACUGAGACACGGGGCCCACACUCCUACGGGAGGCAGCAGUAGGGAAUCUUCCGCAAUGGGCGAAAGCCUGACGGAGCAACGCCGCGUGAGUGAUGAAGGUCUUCGGAUCGUAAAACUCUGUUAUUAGGGAAGAACAUAUGUGUAAGUAACUGUGCACAUCUUGACGGUACCUAAUCAGAAAGCCACGGCUAACUACGUGCCAGCAGCCGCGGUAAUACGUAGGUGGCAAGCGUUAUCCGGAAUUAUUGGGCGUAAAGCGCGCGUAGGCGGUUUUUUAAGUCUGAUGUGAAAGCCCACGGCUCAACCGUGGAGGGUCAUUGGAAACUGGAAAACUUGAGUGCAGAAGAGGAAAGUGGAAUUCCAUGUGUAGCGGUGAAAUGCGCAGAGAUAUGGAGGAACACCAGUGGCGAAGGCGACUUUCUGGUCUGUAACUGACGCUGAUGUGCGAAAGCGUGGGGAUCAAACAGGAUUAGAUACCCUGGUAGUCCACGCCGUAAACGAUGAGUGCUAAGUGUUAGGGGGUUUCCGCCCCUUAGUGCUGCAGCUAACGCAUUAAGCACUCCGCCUGGGGAGUACGACCGCAAGGUUGAAACUCAAAGGAAUUGACGGGGGCCCGCACAAGCGGUGGAGCAUGUGGUUUAAUUCGAAGCAACGCGAAGAACCUUACCAAAUCUUGACAUCCUUUGACAACUCUAGAGAUAGAGCUUUCCCCUUCGGGGGACAAAGUGACAGGUGGUGCAUGGUUGUCGUCAGCUCGUGUCGUGAGAUGUUGGGUUAAGUCCCGCAACGAGCGCAACCCUUAAGCUUAGUUGCCAUCAUUAAGUUGGGCACUCUAAGUUGACUGCCGGUGACAAACCGGAGGAAGGUGGGGAUGACGUCAAAUCAUCAUGCCCCUUAUGAUUUGGGCUACACACGUGCUACAAUGGACAAUACAAAGGGCAGCGAAACCGUGAGGUCAAGCAAAUCCCAUAAAGUUGUUCUCAGUUCGGAUUGUAGUCUGCAACUCGACUACAUGAAGCUGGAAUCGCUAGUAAUCGUAGAUCAGCAUGCUACGGUGAAUACGUUCCCGGGUCU